rnacentral:rRNA from 1 species
GACGAACGCUGGCGGCGUGCUUAACACAUGCAAGUCGAACGAAGUGGCGAACGGGAGAGUAACGCGUAAUCAACCUGCCCUUCCGAGGGGGACAACAGUUGGCAACGACAGCUAAUACCGAUAAAUGAAGGAGUGGAUUGCGUUUGCUUAGUUAGUUGGAGGGGGAACGGCCCACCAAGGCGAUGAUCAGUAGCCGGUCUGAGAGGAUGAACGGCCACAUUGGGACUGAGACACGGCCCAGACUCCUACGGGAGGCAGCAGUGGGGAAUCUUCCGCAAUGGACGAAAGUCUGACGGAGCAACGCCGCGUGAGUGAUGACGGCCUUCGGGUUGUAAAGCUCUGUUGAUCGGGACGCGGUACCGGAAUAGAAAGCCACGGCUAACUACGUGCCAGCAGCCGCGGUAAUUC